rnacentral:rRNA from 1 species
UACGAAGGGGGGCUAGCGUUGCUCGGAUUUACUGGGCGUAAAGGGCGCGUAGGCGGACAGUUAAGUUGGGGGGUGAAAGCCCGGGGCUCAACCUCGGAAUUGCCUUCAAUACUGGCUGUCUUGAGUGUGAGAGAGGUGUGUGGAACUCCGAGUGUAGAGGUGAAAUUCGUAGAUAUUCGGAAGAACACCGGUGGCGAAGGCGGUCUGCUGGGCCAAGACUGACGCUGAGGCGCGACAGCGUGGGGAGCAAACAGG